rnacentral:rRNA from 1 species
AGCGAACGCUGGCGGAAUGCUUAACACAUGCAAGUCGCACGGUCAGCAAUGGCAGUGGCGGACGGGUGAGUAACGCGUAGGAAUAUGUCCAGAGGGUGGGGGACAACCCCGGGAAACUGGGGCUAAUACCGCAUAUGAGCUGAGGCUCAAAGCAGUGAUGCGCCUUUGGAGUAGCCUGCGUCCGAUUAGCUUGUUGGUGGGGUAAAGGCUUACCAAGGCGACGAUCGGUAGCUGGUCUGAGAGGACGACCAGCCACACUGGGACUGAGACACGGCCCAGACUCCUACGGGAGGCAGCAGUGGGGAAUAUUGGACAAUGGGCGCAAGCCUGAUCCAGCAAUUCCGCGUGGGUGAAGAAGGUCUUCGGAUUGUAAAGCCCUUUCGACGGGGGACGAUGAUGACGGUACCCGUAGAA